rnacentral:rRNA from 1 species
GGGUGCGAUCAUACCAGAACUAAUGCACCGGAUCCCAUCAGAACUCCGCAGUCAAGCGUGCUUGGGCAAGAGUAGUACUUGGUUGGGUGACCUCUUGGGAAGUCCUCGUGUUGCACCCC